UACAGAGACUGCAAGCGUUAUUCGGAUUCACUGGGCGUAAAGGGUGCGCAGGCGGCCAAGUGUGUGAGGCGUGAAAGCCCGGGGCUUAACCCCGGAAUUGCACCUCAAACUACAUGGCUAGAGCAUUGGAGAGGGUAGCGGAAUUCACGGUGUAGCAGUGAAAUGCGUAGAUAUCAUGAGGAACACCAGAGGCGAAGGCGGCUACCUGGACAAUUGCUGACGCUCAGGCACGAAAGCGUGGGGAGCAAAAGGG
rnacentral:rRNA from 1 species